ACUUAUAUAGUAUAAUAAGUAUAUUUGACUUCCAAUCAUAAGGUUUAUAAUAAACAUAAUAUAAGUA
rnacentral:tRNA from 1 species